GAUGAACGCUAGCGGGAGGCCUAACACAUGCAAGCCGAGCGGUAUUUGUUCUUCGGAACAGAGAGAGCGGCGCACGGGUGCGGAACACGUGUGCAACCUGCCUUUAUCUGGGGAUAGCCUUUCGAAAGGAAGAUUAAUACCCCAUAAUAUAUUGAGUGGCAUCACUUGAUAUUGAAAACUCCGGUGGAUAGAGAUGGGCACGCGCAAGAUUAGAUAGUUGGUGAGGUAACGGCUCACCAAGUCAAUGAUCUUUAGGGGGCCUGAGAGGGUGAUCCCCCACACUGGUACUGAGACACGGACCAGACUCCUACGGGAGGCAGCAGUGAGGAAUAUUGGACAAUGGGUUAGCGCCUGAUCCAGCCAUCCCGCGUGAAGGACGACGGCCCUAUGGGUUGUAAACUUCUUUUGUAUAGGGAUAAACCUACUCUCGUGAGAGUAGCUGAAGGUACUAUACGAAUAAGCACCGGCUAACUCCGUG
rnacentral:rRNA from 1 species